AACGUAGGAGACAAACGUUAUCCGGAGUUACUGGGCGUAAAGGGCGUGUAGGCAGUUUGUUAAGUCUGGCGUGAAAGCUCUCGGCUAAACCGGGAGAGGUCGUUGGAUACUGGCAAACUAGAGGACGGUAGAGGCGUGUGGAAUUCCGGGUGUAGUGGUGAAAUGCGUAGAGAUCCGGAGGAACACCAGUGGCGAAGGCGACACGCUGGGCCGUACCUGACGCUAAAGCGCGACAGCAUGGGGAGCAAACGGG
rnacentral:rRNA from 1 species